GGGAAAAGGAAGGAGCUGAUUUAGCAAACAAACGAAGACAAGUGUACUCACUGGGAAACUUCUGUAAUGAAAUGAAGCUUGUAAUAAAUCCUGCAGUGUUGUUGUUCCAGCAGAAUGUGUAACACUGCUCACUACACCCAGGCUCACUCAUAUGGCCAAACUGGAGAACAUCAUCAGAGUGAGAAAGGUUGUAGUCCCUGAAUGAUGAUGUCAUCACUUCCUAUUUAACUACCUCAGUCAAGUCUUCCAUUGCCCUUGCGUGGUCACUGACUUCACUGUGAGUUCCUGUGUUCCUGAAUCCAUGUAUUGCUUGGCUUGUUUGACGUCCCUGAGUCCCUGGUUCCUGAUCUCUGGCUUGUUCCUGACAUUGCUGAUCUCCAUGUUCCUGACACCGGCUCAUCUGAUUACCCACUUUGGCUCCUGACCCGGCUCGUCUGACUACCUGCUCUUGCUGUGACUCCUUUGGCUUUUGGACUUGUUUUUAUAUUUUAAAUAAAGGUACCCUGACACCCAAUAAUAAUAAAUAAGUCUAUGGGUCCAGAUAAUAUUCAUCCAAGGGUUCUAAGUGAACUUCGAUCCUUGAUAGCUACUCCAUUAGCUGAUUUAUUUAAUCGGUCACUGUUAACAGGAGCUGUUCCAAAAGACUGGAACAUUGCUAAUGUAGUCCCUCUUCAUAAAAAGGAUAGUAGGGCAGAUUCUUCUAAAUAUAGGCCAGUCAGUUUGACCUCAAGUGCAGGGAAAUUUAUGGAAAACUCUUUUAAAGUAAAUACUUGUGUCUUACCUUCAGACAAACAACUUAGAAGACAAAGGACAACAUGAUUUCACUGCUGGAAGAUCAUGUCAGACUAAUCUAAUUGAUUUCUUUGACCAUGUAACUAAAUUAAUAGACCAGGGAGGAGCCAUAGAUAUUGCAAAUCUAGACUUUAGCAAAGCAUUUGACACUGUCCCACACAACAAAACUAUUCACACAAUGUAUUGCCUUUGAGUAGGUGUUAAUAUUGUUAAGUGGGUAGAAUGUUGGUUUAAGGAAGAGGGUUUCAAUGAAUGGGGUAUAUUCAAAUGAGGGGUCAGUUACUAGUGGUGUUCCCCAAGGUUCAGUUCUUGGGCCUGUUUUGUUUAACAUGUUCAUCUGUGAUAUUGAAGUGGGCUUCCGGGUAAGGUUUACUUGUUUGCUGAUGAUACCAAAACAGUGUUGAUGUACCAGGAGGGGUUAAUCAAAUAAACAGUUAUAUUAAAAAACUGAA